rnacentral:rRNA from 1 species
AGUGAACGCUGGCGGUAGGCCUAACACAUGCAAGUCGAACGGCAGCACAGAGGAGCUUGCUCCUUGGGUGGCGAGUGGCGGACGGGUGAGGAAUACAUCGGAAUCUACUUUUUCGUGGGGGAUAACGUAGGGAAACUUACGCUAAUACCGCAUACGACCUACGGGUGAAAGCAGGGGACCUUCGGGCCUUGCGCGAUUGAAUGAGCCGAUGUCGGAUUAGCUAGCUGGCGGGGUAAAGGCCCACCAAGGCGACGAUCCGUAGCUGGUCUGAGAGGAUGAUCAGCCACACUGGAACUGAGACACGGUCCAGACUCCUACGGGAGGCAGCAGUGGGGAAUAUUGGACAAUGGGCGCAAGCCUGAUCCAGCCAUACCGCGUGGGUGAAGAAGGCCUUCGGGUUGUAAAGCCCUUUUGUUGGGAAAGAAAUCCAGCUGGCUAAUACCCGGUUGGGAUGACGGUACCCAAAGAAUAAGCACCGGCUAACUUCGUGCCAGCCGCCGCCGUAA